ACAACAACAUUCGGACCGUCGCUCUACCGAGCAAUAUCACCCGCUCGGUGGAAGAUCUUCCACCCGUCAUUAUC
rnacentral:pre_miRNA from 1 species